AUUGAACGCUGGCGGCAGGCCUAACACAUGCAAGUCGAACGAGUGGCGGACGGGUGAGUAAUGUAUGGGAAACUGCCCGAUGGAGGGGGAUAACUACUGGAAACGGUAGCUAAUACCGCAUACCAUCGGAUGUGCCCAGAUGGGAUUCGCUAGUAGGUGGGGUGACGGAUCACCUAGGCGACGAGCCCUAGCUGGUCUGAGAGGAUGCCCAGCCACCCUGGAACUGAGACACGGUCCAGACUCCUACGGUAGUCAGCAUGGGUGAAUAUUGCACAAUGGGCGCAAGCCUGAUGCAGACAUGCCGCGUGUAUGAAGAAGUCCUUCGGGUUUGAAAGUACUUUCAGCGAGGAGUCGUUACUCGCAGAAGAAGCAUCGGCUAACUCCGUGCCAGCAGCCGCGGUAAUAC
rnacentral:rRNA from 1 species